rnacentral:tRNA from 1 species
GAAGGCGAACUUCCAAGGUGGGAGACGCGCCUCUCAAGCGACGUGGCCGCCUAACUAGCGGCUCCGGUUCGAGUCCGGCGCCUUCC